rnacentral:rRNA from 1 species
AUUCCAGCUCCAAUAGCGUAUAUUAAAGUUGUUGUGGUUAAAAAGCUCGUAGUUGGAUCUCGGCGGUCUGAGGGCGGUUCGCUUCAGAGCGCUACUGCCCUAUAGACCGUAGUUUUGCCAGAGGUCUCAGGGUGCUCUUAACCGAGUGUCUUGCGAUGCUGGCAGGUUUACUUUGAAAAAAUUAGAGUGCUCAAAGCAGGCUUUUACGCCUGAAUAUUCGUGCAUGGAAUAAUAGAAUAGGAAGUCGUUUCUAUUUUGUUGGUUUUCGGAAAUCGACUUAAUGAUUAAUAGGGACAGUCGGGGGCAUUUGUAUUUAAGUGUCAGAGGUGAAAUUCUUGGAUUGCUUAAAGACUAACUUCUGCGAAAGCAUCUGCCAAGGAUGUUUUCAUUG